CCCUUAGAUGUCCUGGGCCGCACGCGCGCUACACUGAUGCAUGCAACGAGUUUAUAACCUUGGCCUGAAAGGUCUGGGUAAUCUUUUGAACGUGCAUCGUGAUAGGGAUAGAUUAUUGCAAUUGUUAAUCUUGAACGAGGAAUUCCCAGUAAACGCGAGUCAUCAGCUCGCAUUGAUUACGUCCCUGCCCUUUGUACACACCGCCCGUCGCACCUACCGAUUGAAUGGUUCGGUGAAGAUCUCGGACUUCGAUAUUUAUUCUUUAUUGAGUUUAUAUUGUGGGAAGUUAUCUAAACCUCAUCAUUUAGAGGAAGGUGAAGUCGUAACA
rnacentral:rRNA from 1 species